UAUACUUCCGUCUGCGUAGGUGCGCUAACCGCUAUAGAGUUCCACAGCAGUUAGCGUUAAACGGGAAAUCAGUGCGAAACUGAUGCUGCCCCCGCAACGGUAAACUCAUUGUCGCAAGACAUUUUCUUUUCACGCGCCACUGUCUUUUAAAUGCGUAAUGCAUUUGCAGAGAUGGGAAGGCAAAAGGAUCAGUGCCUGCUUAAAGCAAACCUGAUGAGUAAGCCCGGAUACCGGCCUGUGCUUCGCGGUAUGC
rnacentral:ncRNA from 2 species